CUUUAUUAGAUACUUUUAUAUGGAACUACAGUAGCUCAACUCAGGUUUUCUUCCUAUUGGAAAUAUGCUUUACAUAUGAUUUUUAGAGACAAACAAUAGUCAAAUAUUUGAAUAUUGUCACAUCAGGGCUCUAUGUGCUCUAAAUAUAAAGAAAUCAAAUAAAAAAUCCUCACAAAUUGGUACAACACCUCUUUUAAGCAUCAUAGAGUCUCUCCUAAAAAAUCACCCAUUUGCUGGAGGUUAUGUGUGUGGUUAUGG